rnacentral:rRNA from 1 species
CCUACGGGGGGCUGCAGUCGAGAAUCAUUCACAAUGGGGGAAACCCUGAUGGUGCGACGCCGCGUGGGGGAAUGAAGGUCUUCGGAUUGUAAACCCCUGUCAUGUGGGAGCAAAUUAAAAAGAUAGUACCACACGAGGAAGAGACGGCUAACUAUGUGCCAGCAGCCGCGGUAAUACAGAGGUCUCAAGCGUUGUUCGGCAUCACUGGGCGUAAAGCGUGCGUAGGCUGUUUCGUAAGUCGUGUGUGAAAGGCGCGGGCUCAACCCGCGGACGGCACAUGAUACUGCGAGACUAGAGUAAUGGAGGGGGAACCGGAAUGCUCGGUGUAGCGGUGAAAUGCGUAGAUAUCGAGAAGAACACUCGUGGCGAAGGCAGGUUCCUGGACAUUAACUGACGCUGAGGCACGAAGGCCAGGGGAGCGAAAGGGAUUAGAUACCCGGGUAGUC